rnacentral:rRNA from 1 species
AACGAACGCUGGCGGCAUGCCUAACACAUGCAAGUCGAACGAGACCUUCGGGUCUAGGGGCGCACGGGUGCGUAACGCGUGGGAACCUGCCCUUAGGUUCGGAAUAACUCCCCGAAAGGGGUGCUAAUACCGGAUAAUGUCUUCGGACCAAAGAUUUAUCGCCUUUGGAUGGGCCCGCGUUGGAUUAGCUAGUUGGUAGGGUAAAAGCCUACCAAGGCGACGAUCCAUAGCUGGUCUGAGAGGAUGAUCAGCCACACUGGGACUGAGACACGGCCCAGACUCCUACGGGAGGCAGCAGUGGGGAAUAUUGGACGAUGGGCGAAAGCCUGAUCCAGCAAUGCCGCGUGAGUGAUGAAGGCCUUAGGGUUGUAAAGCUCUUUUACCCGGGAUGAUAAUGACAGUACCGGGAGAAUAAGCACCGGCUAACUCCGUG